CUGGGUCGGUAGUUUGUUCAUGCACGUCAGCCGAUGUGUCUUCUGGCUGAGGUACUUCUGGUUGAAACUCCUCUGGAUGAGGAUUUUCUGCUCGUGGUGCUUCUUGCGGUUGAGGAGGAGAUGGUACUUGCUGAGUCUGUGUUUCUGGAGGAGAAGGAGAAGAUUCCACUGGAAUUGGAGAAACCGGAGGGGAAGGGGGAGUUGCCACUCUCUGGCACUUUGUUUGUGCUCUGGU
rnacentral:lncRNA from 1 species